CAGGCGUAACAGACUCUAACGAAAAGAGCAUGGACUGGAGGAUAUACUUCCUUGUCAUUCCAGUGGUAAACGGAGCACGUGCCCUCACCUGUUUACAAUGUAAAGGUGUCUCUCAGCCUCGCCAUUGCACUAUCGUAGAUGAAUGCUACCCAGGCGAGGUAUGUGGUGUUGAAAAGGUUAGAAACACGCUUGGUCAUACCGUCUACAAUGUUGGGUGCAUGAUACAAU